UAGGCCUUCUAGGUACUGGAGGGGGACCCCAGGGCUAUAAGGUUGAACAACUCAUCUCUCCCAGCCUCCACUUGGGAGUAUUUACUCCCCUCCCACCACAGCAGUUGCCUGAGAUUUUCAUGCCUAUAACUUGCUCCUCCGGAAGGAGAUCUCUCUCUCAAAGCAGCUGCACUUGCAGGUACAUUAUUGCUUAAGUGUGGAAGCUCUGCCCCACUCAAUUAACCCAGAUUUGCACAUGAGACAGAGGCGGACACACUGUUCCUUGGCUUUACUACUCCAUGUGUCUGCAAAGGGGAUGAAAACAGAAGCUGGGCAGUGCUCCAUGUGCUCCAGAAGACAGGGCAGCACCCUCAGAAAGAACUACUGCUUAUUCUCCAACAGCUACUCUCCCAAACAAGGAGCAGCUUCAGGCAGACCACUCCAUCUUCUGCUCUGCUUCUUGGCCUACCUCAUGAACAGCUUUGCUAAACUAUGAAGCUCUGUGGAAAACAGGAAGUUUCCAAUAUAAAAUCCUAAUUGUUGUUGGGAAAAAAACAAACAAACAAAAAAAAAAAAAAAACACUAUUAACUUGAAAAGCACAUAUUUUCACACAAUGGCUGUCACAAAUAAUGAAAGCUGUUCAGAUGAAAGUUAAGAAAUGUUAGGUCUUGACCAAAAUUAUUUUAUGAGGAAAAAUAUUUUUAUUUUUAGAAAAUAAAGCCUGAGUUCUCAAUCAAAACAUUGACAGCAAAACAGCCAGGAACAGUAAAUUCUCAAUACAGAACAAAUAUUCUCCUUGUGAUAUUCUCCUUGUGUGUAAACAGAGUGACAGAUACAACAGAAUGGCCUGCAAGAUUGGCAGCAAUAAGUAAAUAUUUAACAGAGAGCUGCCAUAUAAUAGAAACACAUCUCUCCCCAGUCAGCAGGCACCAGGUCUUUGGUGGAUAAGCUAAUGUCAGGCAGCAGGAUGUUUAGGUGGUCUUGAAGUCCUAUAACCACACUGAAUAUCAAACAAGUUCGGACAACACGGAUCGACCCUAAAUGGAGCUCGCCUCUUCCUUCUCUUCUUGCCAGAAGAACAGCAGGUACCACAGGGAUGUGGUAGAAGAGAUGGAUUUUGGGGCACAGCAUCACGGGGCAGGCACCAAGUCCUUCAUAAGCUGCAUGAGUGACGUAAAAUAUUCAGAUACACACACACAAGAACUGUGGGAUGUUGCCUAGCCAUUCCUAGUCUGAGCAGCAAACUGAGGUUCCUAGAAGAGGAAGGAGAUGGAAAGCUACCUUUUAUUUCUGAGCUGUACUCUCUACUCCCUCCCUCAGCUCCAGGACUGAACCUGAGGCUCCCUCUGCUGAGCCUGCCACAUAGCUGAUAGCUGGAUGAUCUGGAUGAUAGCCGAUGUCUGCUGGAUCCAGGCUCCAGAGGUGGUCUGUAAAAUCCUCGAACCUUCCGCACCUUCAUCUCAUGCUCCAGCACAAGGCAAAGGACAGUCCACACACUCCACAGCCAGAAGAGGACCUCUUUUUCUGCUCCACCACCAGUGAAAAGGGAGACGGAGGUGCAGAAUGAGAAAGCCAACUCCAGGAGGAAUUUUUCCUCAGAUAAAUGUAUACAUGUACAUGUAUAGGUACCUGUGUAUACUAUAGCACGAGCACUCACACAUCUCCAAACUCUUAUAAGAAGUCACUGUUGCAGUGUCACUGAAGGGCUCUGGUUGAGUCAGGCUCAGUGUCUGGGCUGAAGAACCACCAGUAACUGCUCAAGCACACCUUCUCCCGUUAACUGCAGAGAAGCUCUAGCAAAGUAGGGCUAAAAGGAUCCCUCAGUUUCAAAGCAGAUUUUGGGGAUCUCUGUAUCUCUGUAUGCAGAACAAAGUGUUUUGCCAGCUGGAAGACAAAAUAUAACAUGAACCAGAAUUUUAUUUUUGACCAAUGUCACUAACAGGCAAUGACUACCACUGUCACUUUUUCCAUUUUACAUCCCCACCCCCCCAAAAAAAAAAAAAAAAAAAAAGUAAGAAUAACCUGUUGAAUAGUUAGAGUUCUUUUUCUUCUCUGCAGUACGUUACCCCCCAGUUGGUUAUACAUCUUCAUAACCAGUCUUUCCUGGUCUCAGAGCCUCAUAUUUCUACAUAUCCUUCAUUUCCAUCCUUCUCACACUGUGUCUUUCCAAAAUAAGGUCUUUUUCCCACACUCAUAAAAGUAAAUCAGCCUGUCACUUCCCAAAAUACAUUCUUAUCUUCCCACGUUCCAUGAAAAAACUUACAGUUACACCAUUCCUUCCCCAUUUCCCCCUUUAACUACAUCCACAUCUCCAGAUUCCAAUUUCCAUCAAGUAAUCUAACUAAUCUUGGUAAGAAAAAUCUCAUGCCUGUAGUUAAUAGGAAAUCCACUUGAGGCAUUAAGACUCAUAUUAGAUCCUUUCUCUCCUUAAGCCAAGCACUCGAUGCCCACAAACUAAGUGGAUUAAUCACAUGCCUUUUAUAUGGCACAGUAGAGCCCAGGGAAGCCCCUAAGCAUUGUUGCCUGUGACAGAACUGCUGCAGGACAUGGGAAUUUCUAUGACCCUUCCCAAGGAGAGCAGCAGUACUUCUGCUGGAAUACUCAUCUUUCAGGUUCUGAAACAUCAAGAUGCAGCUCCAGAAGAUGUUGUGAUUUUUCAUUGUUUUAUACAGGUGAAUUGGCCAGGCGGCAGAUUUCUGUUACUUGUUGACAGGCUUCCUACUGUCACAGUUCCUCAGCUCCAGACCUUCACAGCUCAGUGCCCUUCAGCACAGCUCCAGAGCCAGAAAUGCAGGCUGUGAGCAGCAUCUUCUCCUGUCCUCUGCCCCACAGUUAGGGUUGAGCACAU